rnacentral:rRNA from 1 species
ACGACGCUGGCGGCGUGCCUAAUACAUGCAAGUCGAACGGUCUUUCUAUGGAAGCUUGCUUCCACUGAGAAGAUAGUGGCGAACGGGUGAGUAACACGUGGGUAACCUGCCCAUAAGAGGGGGAUAACAUCCGGAAACGGGUGCUAAUACCGCAUAGUUUUCUUGAUCGCAUGAUCGGGAAAGGAAAGACGGCCUUUGUGCUGUCGCUUAUGGAUGGACCCGCGGCGUAUUAGUUAGUUGGUGAGGUAACGGCUCACCAAGACGAUGAUACGUAGCCGACCUGAGAGGGUGAUCGGCCACAUUGGGACUGAGACACGGCCCAAACUCCUACGGGAGGCAGCAGUAGGGAAUCUUCCGCAAUGGACGAAAGUUUGACGGAGCAACGCCGCGUGAGUGAAAGAAGGUUUUCGGAUCGUAAAACUCUGUUGUCAGAGAAGAACAAGUUGGAGAGUAACUGCUCCAGCCUUGACGGUAUCUGACCAGAAAGCCACGGCUAACUACGUGCCAGCCGCCGC